UAGGGAAUCUUCGGCAAUGGACGAAAGUCUGACCGAGCAACGCCGCGUGAGUGAAGAAGGUUUACGGAUCGUAAAACUCUGUUGUUAGAGAAGAACAAGGACGUUAGUAACUGAACGUCCCCUGACGGUAUCUAACCAGAAAGCCACGGCUAACUACGUGCCAGCAGCCGCGGUAAUACGUAGGUGGCAAGCGUUGUCCGGAUUUAUUGGGCGUAAAGCGAGCGCAGGCGGUUUCUUAAGUCUGAUGUGAAAGCCCCCGGCUCAACCGGGGAGGGUCAUUGGAAACUGGGAGACUUGAGUGCAGAAGAGGAGAGUGGAAUUCCAUGUGUAGCGGUGAAAUGCGUAGAUAUAUGGAGGAACACCAGUGGCGAAGGCGGCUCUCUGGUCUGUAACUGACGCUGAGGCUCGAAAGCGUGGGGAGCAAACAGG
rnacentral:rRNA from 2 species